rnacentral:misc_RNA from 1 species
GUUUAGAGUUAGAGAAUAAUUAGAAGAGAUAUUCUCUAUAGCCAUCAUGUUUUUGGUGUUUUCUUUUGAAAUCAAAUAAAGGUAAACCAGGUCUCUGUAAGAAGAGUCCGAAGUUAAUUUUGGACUAUAUUUUGUAGUGGGGGUGAGUGAGUGUUUAUAUUUCAAGCUUGAGUUUCUUGUCUUUUGGCAGAAUUAGAAAGAGAUAAAGAGUCGGUAGUUAUUUUGAAUAUAACAAAGAUUUAGGUGCUUGUGUUUGGAGAAAUUCUUGUUUUUUUGUUUGUACAGUUUUAUCCCUUUCUGUAAGCUUCUUGGUUUGUUGUGUGACUGGCUCACUUUCAAUUUAGAUAUGCAAAUGAUGUCUGGUGAUACUUUCUCCAUCCCUUCUUCCAUACCAGGGUUUGCUCAUCAAGAACAGAAUGCAAACCCUAACCCUAAAACUAAUCCUAAUCCUGUGCCCAAGAAGAAGAGAAAUUUGCCUGGAACACCAGAUCCAGAUGCUGAAGUUAUUGCUCUAUCUCCUAAGACUCUCAUGGCCACAAACCGAUUCAUUUGUGAAAUAUGCAAUAAAGGUUUCCAAAGAGACCAAAACUUGCAGCUUCACCGGAGAGGUCACAAUCUUCCAUGGAAGCUAAGGCAAAGGACCAAUAAAGAAGUCAUCAAAAAGAAAGUCUAUAUAUGCCCAGAAAAGACCUGCGUUCACCAUGACCCAUCUAGAGCUCUCGGGGAUCUCACCGGAAUAAAAAAGCAUUAUAGUAGGAAACAUGGAGAGAAGAAAUGGAAG